GACGAACGCUGGCGGCGUGCUUAACACAUGCAAGUCGAGCGGUAAGGCCCUUUCGGGGGUACACGAGCGGCGAACGGGUGAGUAACACGUGGGUGACCUGCCUUUAGCUCUGGGAUAAGCCUGGGAAACCGGGUCUAAUACCGGAUAUGACUCCGCGGCGCAUGUUGUGGGGUGGAAAGCCUUGUGCGGCUGGAGAUGGGCCCGCGGCCUAUCAGCUUGUUGGUGGGGUGAUGGCCUACCAAGGCGACGACGGGUAGCCGGCCUGAGAGGGCGACCGGCCACACUGGGACUGAGACACGGCCCAGACUCCUACGGGAGGCAGCAGUGGGGAAUCUUGCGCAAUGGGCGAAAGCCUGACGCAGCGACGCCGCGUGAGGGAUGACGGCCUCGGUUGUAACC
rnacentral:rRNA from 1 species